AAGACUAUACUUCACAGGAUCAUUUCUGUAGUAAGUCUUCAUUAACUUUCGGGUUAAACCGAAGGAAUUUGCGCCCAUGAUGACGAGUCAAGGUCGCUUCAUCCCUAGCGUGAGGAAGAUUCGUUCUCGGUGUUUUCAUUAGAGAGCGAAUCAUCGAUGAUCGCUUUAAGACGGGAUGAAGUGAUUUCAGAGUGGU
rnacentral:snoRNA from 1 species